ACGCGAGCACUUUUCUGGCGUCUCAUUGGCCACGGCCGUGCGCAUGCGUGUUGAGGUCCCAUUAGAAGGCGGGCCGUCUUCGGAUCGUCCAAUCCGGGAAUGGUUCCCAAAGGACCUCGGCGGCCAUGAUUGUGCGGGGCGGGAGGUCACGUGGGGCGGGCCCGGGGCGGGCCGUCCCGCCUCGGCCGCCAUGUUUUUGAGGGACUGUGCCUCUCCCUCGCGCAAACUGCCCGGCGCGGUAGGGGAGCGCGGUCAAUCCCUCAAGCGACAGUAGCCUGCAGGGCAUGUGGUGGCUCGCCGGCUGCGCCAGGAACUGACCCUCGAAUCCAGUUGUUGGGAAACUGUACGUUGCAAACAGCGCGAGCAAGCGGAUCUGCUUUUGCUGCUGCACCUUUCAUGAGACCUAAGGCCGGAUCAAGGAUUUCCCCGCACACACACCGGAAGACUCGGUAUGAAAAAAGGGUGUAAAACAUACCAUUAGUCGUUUUUUUAAAAAAUGUUGAUGACGUCUUGAAAGCACAUUUUGGAUACACAGGGUGGAAUGAAAUUUUUAAAGUAA